GUGUUGCAAUACCCUUUCUGUUCCUGGCUUCCCUGGGCACAGAGUUCCUCUGCAGCCUCCGCUUUGAGCUGAUUUCUGGUAUGAACUUUGUGUUGGGGGUUUUCUAUUCCACUCAGUCACCAAUGUCUGUGCAAAUAUUCAGAUUUAUUUUUGGUUAGUGUGUAGAUUUACCCGAUAGAAUGUUGACUCUGUGUGUGUGCGUGUGUGUGUGGUUCUGGUUCAUCUGGGAUUUUCCAGCCACAUACAAGCACAGAUAGCCUGAGGUCUGGCCUAGAAACCUGCAUCUGGCCAAAGGCAUAAGCUCUGGAAUAUUCCCUGCUCUCAGCCAUCUCUACUCUGGAGCCACCCCUUUAGCAAGCAGCAGACUCAUGAGCUGUGUCCCCAGAACAGGGUCAGCUCCGUCUCAAUCCUCAGUGUCUCUGUCCUGGGGCAGCCCGCCGAGGCAGGGAGGUAUAGCUGAACACCCAGAGCUCUCCUGACCUGAAGGCCUUCCUCUGUGACCUGCCACCACUGGGAAGCACACACAAUCAACGUCGGACUGAAGGAAACCUCAGCAGCCUGAAGUGCUCUUGGCUCCAGGUAGCUCAGAGCCAGGAAGUGCUGGCUUACUUUAUUCUAUUCUUUAUUUUCUGCCGCGAGCUCAUAGCUGCUCCUUUAAAUUACUUCCCCCAAGUCCUGGUGAUGGUCUGUGGAUAAACAGAAAUGCCCUUGAACUGAGUUUGUGGGGCAGCGUCACAGGAAGGACGAGCGCCGGUCAGGGCUGUGUGUUCUGCAGCGUCUCAUUAGGAAAACCUCCCAGAGUCCCCGCAGGGUCUCCCAGGGACCUGGAUCUGUGCUCAAGGCCUCGACUGCACAUCCGAGAUGGCCAGCGGGUUCCUAAGGUCCAGGCCUGAAGGCGCACUGUUCUGCCAGCUGCUAUGUUUGGGAAAUCCAUGUCCACCAGCUUUGGAGAGGCUGAGACCUGCGUGUUCAGCUGCCAUGAGACUUCUUCUGCUAUGUGCUCACCAUGAUGUCUGCCUUGCAAAAGCCCCCACAGGGCAAUGGGCCAAGCAACCAUAGAUUAAAACCUUUGAAUCCGUGAACUCCAAUAAACCUUUCCUCCUUUUAAGUUGAUUAUCGCAGGAUACUAGAGUACAUUUGACAAGAAAAGAGACCCCUCUCUUUGGAGGAAGACUAAAGUUCAAGCUAGGUCAUUGUCUUGGCCCUGGGGAAGUCACUUCCCUUCUCUUAGCCCCAGUUCCCCAUCCUCAGUGUGGAGAGUCCCACCUGUGACAUGGAGGCAGCGCAGGAGCCACACAUCAGCCCCUGCACACGACUGGUGGUUGUCAUUAUGAUCAUGGGGCUGGUUCCCGUGACAUAUCAGUAUGAAACUUUCUUGAGAAAGUACGACAGUGGAUCAGUUGCAUGUAUUUGAGAAGAUGAGAGGCCUCCGGAGUUGGCCACAGUCUAAAUUGUGAAGAAGGAAUUCCAAACCCCCCUGCUUCCUCGUCAUGCCUGCCUUCAGAGUGGCCUGCAGGUGUACCUCUUUGGAAUCAGUGUUUACAGAUUUCUCCAGAACGUUCUCUUGCUGUCUGUGAGAAGACCCUUCCUAUGGGGUGAGUCGCUGUCCUGCCCUAAGUAGCCAUGGUAGGUCUGCUCGGUAAGUGUGUCUUCUCUCCACAUGAUGCUUGUGUUGUGAGUGUGCCAUUGCUCACUGUUACAUUCCCACUGUCCGCACCUGGUAGGUGAUAAGUAUGUAUUUAUUAAAUGAAUAACGAGAUAAAUGAAUGUGACCUUCAUGCAGGCUGCAUGCUGGCCCUCAAGUACUGGACACGAAUCCCUGAUCUGCUGUUAUCAGAAGGAGACAUCUUUGUGAUGCAGAAACCUCCACUUUCAUCUUACUAGUACCUCCCUUAGGUUAAAGGAGAGACUGUUUAGGGGACCGGCUCUGAGAACCCAGUCUCCUAGGAGGUGCCCCUCCGGUUGGGAGCUUUGUUCUCCAGGCCUUUCCCGCUGCCACAGAGGCAGCCUGGAAUUUGUGGAACCGAGAGAAGCAUUUCACAGGAUCCAGCGGGCGAGGGGCAGACUCAAGCAUCGCUCUCACCCCGACAGCAGGCAUCUUUAGAGGUGUCUGUGCCGGGACCCUGCCUUGCUGGGGAGGGAAACAUGGUUAAGAUUGGUUUCUUAUUUUCAAAGGGGCCACAUGGCCUUUGUGCUCAGCCGCUCCGUCUUUAACUCCCAACACUGCGUCCACCUCUGUGGCGGUGGUGGUGGGGGCUCUGUGAAGAGUGACCAGCAAUUGUCCCUGCUUUCUGCACCUGCCCACUGUGUGCUCACCAGGUGGGGUCCAGGAACACGUUCUCCUUGGCAACAGGCCUUGCUUCCCUCACUCUCACACUGUUGGCUGAGACACCCCAGGGAAAGAAGGACGAGGGGCACGGGUCUGGAACACGCUCAGUGUCCACAGAAGAACCGUGCAGCUAGGAUAACAGGCCUCCCACCCACCAUCGCCAGCCACCCUGGAGCUCGGUGAGAGGGAGCCAUCUGAGAGGGCCAGAGCCUGGCCACCCUCUCGCCAGGCAGCACCACCCAGCCCUUGGCACCACGGCCUGCCCGUCCCCUACCAGCUCACGGCCAUCUUCCUCCCUCCCUGGCUCCCUGCCUUCUUUCCUCUCUCCCCCUUGCUGUCUCAGUUCCCCCCUCCCUUCUUCCUCAUUCUCUGAAACCAAGGCCACAGAGAUGUAGGAGGAACCCACUGCUUUCUGCCCAGAGCUACCCGCCGGCAUCUCCCCAACCUGCAGGUCACCUGCUGGGAUUUCCCAGAAUCCCCGGGGUUCCCUCUGAUCUUGCUUUUCCCA